GCCGAACAGGAACCUACAUCGCUGUGGACUACCUAUUGGACCAGGCUCUGGCUGUAGAUAAGGUCGAUGUGUUUGGUUGUGUCUCAAAGAUGAGAGACCAGAGGAAGGGCAUGAUACAGACCAAGGACCAGUACAAAUGUGUCUACAUGACCUUGCAAGAGGCUCUGGAGUUUGGAAACACAACCAUGGAUAUGCAGGAGUUCAAUCAAAAUCGAAGUGGGAACAGAACCUUCAAGAUGGGACGCAUAGAACCCACACAGUUAAUACAGAUCCUGAAUGCUAAAGGAGAGUUCUCAAGAAAAGGUAAGCAAAGG